UCCAGUGCAAAAAGAAGAGCUGCAAUUCCCC
rnacentral:piRNA from 1 species